GUCUUUCCCAUGCUGUUCUCAUGAUAGUGAACAAGUCUCAUUAGAUCUGGUGAUUUUAUGAAGGAGAAUUUCCUGCAGAAGCUCUCUUCUCUUGUCUGCAGCCAUGUUACUGUAUUAGUUUUCUAAGGUUGCCAUAAUAAAGUACCACAGACUGGGUGGCUUAAACAACAGAAAUUCAUAUUUUCACAGUUGUGGAAGCUAGAAGUCCAAGAUCAAGGUGUUGAUAGAGUUGAUUUCUUCUGAGACCUCCCUCCUUGGCUUGUAGAUGUUCAGUCUUCUUCAUUGUCACACUUUUGUGUCUAUUUUAUCAUUUGCUACUCAACUCAAAAGUUACCUGGCCAUGGUGAGUACUAUCACUGAAAUUCCAAGUAAGCUUAACAGUGAAACAAGAAGUAAAAAUGAAUUGUGUAAUUACAGCAAGCAAUAAAUUUCUUUUAGGUCUUCAGGAUAAUCUUUAAGCAAUUUUUCCUAAAACAAUAUAAAAGACAGUAGAAUCCAUGUUCAUAGGCAUCUCUGAUUUGGCAGAAUCUUUCUUCACCUGGGCUCAUGCAACACUGAAUUUCGGGUGUGUCUCUGUUAGCCACAUAGCCUCAUAUAUAUUUUUUUGUGCAGUUGAAUUUAUUUACAUACAUUUUUGAUACUUUGAUAGUAAAAUAGAAGCAGAAAUGUAUUCAGUUGAAUUUAAGUCAUCAUUCUCUCUAAUCCUCAAACCUUCAUUAGCCUUUGAGAUCUAGCAAGCUCAUCCUAUCUUAUGUGGGACGAGGAUCUGUCAGAGAGAGCAGGGCCUGGCUGUCCCUGACCCCACUAGUGUACAUUCCUCAACCACCAACUUUCUCGAUCACUCACAUCUAUUUCAUUUUCUUGAUAACACUUGUCAGUCACUAUCUGAACAUAUAUGAUUUGCUUACUCAUUACCUUGUGUCCGGCCUCUGAACCCAAGCUAAGCCAUCAUAUCCCCUGUGACCUGCACGUACACAUCCAGAUGG
rnacentral:lncRNA from 1 species